AAUCAACGCUGGCGGCGUGCCUCAGACAUGCAAGUCGAACGCGAAAGUCCCCUUCGGGGACGAAGUAGAGUGGCGCACGGGUGAGUAACACGUAGGUAAUCUACCUUUGGAUGGGGAAUAACAACCGGAAACGGUUGCUAAUACCGCAUAAUGCAGCGGCACCUAAUGGUGACAGUUGUUAAAGCGGGGGAUCGAAAGACCUCGCGUCUGAAGAGGAGCCUGCGGCGGAUUAGCAGUUGGUAAGGUAAUGGCUUACCAAGGCUACGAUCCGUAACCGGCCUGAGAGGGCGGUCGGUCACACUGACACUGACAUACGGGUCAGACUCCUACGGGAGGCAGCAGUCGGGAAUUUGGCAAUGGGCGAAAGCCUGACCCAGCAACGCCGCGUGAAGGAUGAAAUCCC
rnacentral:rRNA from 1 species